rnacentral:rRNA from 1 species
CCUACGGGUGGCAGCAGUGAGGAAUAUUGGUCAAUGGACGAGAGUCUGAACCAGCCAAGUAGCGUGAAGGAUGACUGCCCUAUGGGUUGUAAACUUCUUUUAUAUGGGAAUAAAAUGUUCCCCGUGUGGGCUUUUGUAUGUACCAUAUGAAUAAGGAUCGGCUAACUCCGUGCCAGCAGCCGCGGUAAUACGGAGGGUCCGAGCGUUAUCCGGAUUUAUUGGGGUUAAAGGGAGCGUAGGUGGAUUGUUAAGUCAGUUGUGAAAGUUUGCGGCUCAACCGUAAAAUUGCAGUUGAAACUGGCAGUCUUGAGUACAGUAGAGGUGGGCGGAAUGCGUGGUGUAGCGGUGAAAUGCUUAGAUAUCACGAAGAACUCCGAUUGCGAAGGCAGCUCACUGGACUGCAACUGACACUGAGGCUCGAAAGUGUGGGUAUCAAACAGGAUUAGAUACCCCAGUAGUC